rnacentral:rRNA from 1 species
AGUGAACGCUGGCGGUCUGCCUAACACAUGCAAGUCGAACGGCAGCACAGUAAGAGCUUGCUCUUACGGGUGGCGAGUGGCGGACGGGUGAGGAAUACAUCGGAAUCUACUUUUUCGUGGGGGAUAACGUAGGGAAACUUACGCUAAUACCGCAUACGACCUACGGGUGAAAGCAGGGGAUCUUCGGACCUUGCGCGAUUGAAUGAGCCGAUGUCGGAUUAGCUAGUUGGCGGGGUAAAGGCCCACCAAGGCGACGAUCCGUAGCUGGUCUGAGAGGAUGAUCAGCCACACUGGAACGGAGACACGGUCCAGACUCCUACGGGAGGCAGCAGUGGGGAAUAGUGGACAAUGGGCGCAAGCCUGAUCCAGCCAUACCGCGUGGGUGAAGAAGGCCUUCGGGUUGUAAAGCCCUUUUGUUGGGAAAGAAAAGCAGCAGGUUAAUACCCCGCUGUUCUGACGGUACCCAAAGAAUAAGCACCGGCUAACUUCGUG